AAGGGUUCGUGACACGGUCGUCUGCCAUGAUAUCCGAAUACUGAUCGUCUGGUGAUGAAAUGCCAACAAAUAUUUAGAUACGGAUAUGCAAGCACACGUUGAUUGGCUGAAGGCAUGAAUACAGAAUCAUCAUGUUCAGAGUCUCCACGAUGUACAAGGCUGUGGAAAGGAUGCAGGUACUUGAUUCGUCAGACAACUUAUGAUCCACUGACCAAGGCACUGCUAAUGGCUUUUAACCUCAACGUCACAGAGUCCGCAAUAUCAAAGUUACACAGAUGUACAGUGAUGUGGAGACUUGCAGAGAAGUUGCAGGAACAAGUCAUCAUCUUUGGAUUUGUUUUCUGC